CCUACGGGAGGCUGCAGUGGGGGAUAUUGCACAAUGGGGGAAACCCUGAUGCAGCGACGCCGCGUGUGGGAAGACGGUCCUCUGGAUUGUAAACCACUGUCCCCAGGGACGAAGAUGACGGUACCUGGGGAGGAAGCUCCGGCUAACUACGUGCCAGCAGCCGCGGUAAUACGUAGGGAGCGAGCGUUGUCCGGAAUUACUGGGUGUAAAGGGAGCGUAGGCGGGACUGCAAGUUGGUUGUCAAAUCUACCGGCUCAACCGGUAGCCGCACUCAAAACUGCAGUUCUUGAGUGAAGUAGAGGCAGGCGGAAUUCCUGGUGUAGCGGUGAAAUGCGUAGAUAUUAGGCGGAACGCCAGUGGCGAAGGCGGCCUGCUGGGCUUUUACUGACGCUGAGGCUCGAAAGUGUGGGGAGCGAACAGGAUUAGAUACCCGGGUAGUC
rnacentral:rRNA from 1 species